rnacentral:lncRNA from 1 species
CUGCAGCGGGGAGACAGUUACCCAGAAGCCCCUAAUGAAGUUCAACUGUUCCAUAUCUCACAGAUCCUCCAGAAAAAAGCCCACUGACGUGCGCUGCCAGACGGUCCAAGUGGGCUCCAAGAUGUCCAAUGAUGUCACGUGUCUCUGGAACCCGGGAACAAGAGACCCUGUAAUGCAUACCAACUACACGCUAUAUAUAGAAGAUGCAGGGGAUGUGUACCACAGCAGUGUGUCCAACAGCUCCGGGACAGUGGUGCUGAAGAUCUUUCCACACCAUAUGGACGUGAAGAUUUGGGUGGAGUUGAGAAUCGAUUGGGGAAGGCCACCUCCGAUGUCCUGAUGCAGGUGGCAGACAGUUUGAUCAAAACGAAUCCGCCAGCCAAUGUGAAUAUUACUUCGGAGCAAGCGUUCCCAAAGUCUCUCUCAUCCAAUGGAGACACUCCAUUGACCGAACCUAUGUGUUGCUGAAGUACAACAUCAGGUUUUGUGAGAAAGACUCUCACACCUGGUCUGAGGUACGUGUCUAAUUAACAGAAUGCUAAUAAACAAAUAAACAAGAUUUGUUGUUCA